CCUCUCACGAGCUUAGCUUAGGUUAAGAGACUCCUCUCACGAGCUCGCGUCAAACCUAGCAGCCAAGAACUUGCUUCCUCCCUCCAACCGACUUCCCCAUGACAGAGCGCGCUUCCUCCAGCUUCUACAAAUGGUUGAUGGCUCCACACGCAAGUUGUUGGAGAGUGGAAGAGAUCCCGAUGACUCCUUGAUUGCUGCUAUUAUUCGAAAUUUCAAGAUUGUUAAGGUGCUAAAGCCAUUGACGAAAAAAAUAAUUUUAAUGAGUGAAAGUGAAUAUGAUGAUGAAGGUGGAUUGAAGCUUAAUGACAUU